AAACGUAAGUCAUUGUCUUCAACCCGUUCUCACUCCUAACUCGUCAAAUACCGCCAUUUUGCCAGCGCCCAUCGGCAUCGGAAACCAUCCCAUGGAGGCACCCUUUAGCAACAGUAUGUGAUGAACUGGGAUUUCAACUAACGCCAAUGUAAACCUACUCGUGGCGUUAUUCAAGGGUCGGUGCAAGUGACGUAGUAUUAAUAGCGUGAGAGUCCGCUAUGGGCGGGCUGGAGUGGUGGUGGAUGGGUCAAACAAACACAAGACUUUCAACCAGC